rnacentral:rRNA from 1 species
UACGUAGGGUGCAAGCGUUGUCCGGAAUUAUUGGGCGUAAAGAGCUCGUAGGCGGUUUGUUGCGUCGGCUGUGAAAUUCCGAGGCUCAACCUCGGGUCUGCAGUGGGUACGGGCAGACUAGAGUGAUGUAGGGGAGACUGGAAUUCCUGGUGUAGCGGUGAAAUGCGCAGAUAUCAGGAGGAACACCGAUGGCGAAGGCAGGUCUCUGGGCAUUAACUGACGCUGAGGAGCGAAAGCAUGGGGAGCGAACAGG